rnacentral:rRNA from 1 species
CCUACGGGAGGCAGCAGUGGGGAAUAUUGGUCAAUGGACGAGAGUCUGAACCAGCCAAGUAGCGUGAAGGAUGACUGCCCUAUGGGUUGUAAACUUCUUUUAUAAAGGAAUAAAACGAGGCACGUGUGCCUUUUUGCAUGUACUUUAUGAAUAAGGAUCGGCUAACUCCGUGCCAGCAGCCGCGGUAAUACGGAGGACCCGAGCGUUAUCCGGAUUUAUUGGGUUUAAAGGGUGCGUAGAUGGGUUGUUAAGUCAGUUGUGAAAGUUUGCGGCUCAACCGUAAAAUUGCAAUUGAUACUGGGAGACUUGAGUACAGUUGAGGUAGGCGGAAUUCGCGGUGUAGCGGUGAAAUGCUUAGAUAUCACGAAGAACCCUGAUUGCGAAGGCAGCUUACUAAACAGUGACUGACAUUGAUGCUCGAAGGUCAGGGUAUCAAAAAGGAUUAGAUACCCUUGUAGUC